rnacentral:rRNA from 1 species
GAGCAUGGGNGAACCUGAAUGCAGCAAUGCCGCGUGAGGUGAUGACGGCCUUCGGGUUGUAAAGCUCUGUUCUUCGGGGACGAUAAUGACGGUACCCGAGCGUAGGAAGCCACGGCUAACUACGCUGCCAUGCAGCCGCGGUAAUACGAUACGA